rnacentral:rRNA from 1 species
UACAGAGGUCCCAAGCGUUGUUCGGAUUCACUGGGCUUAAAGGGCGCGUAGGCGGGCGGUCAAGUCGGGGGUGAAAUCUUUCAGCUUAACUGGAAACGUGCCUUCGAUACUGAUCGUCUUGAGGGAGGUAGGGGCAUGUGGAACUUCCGGUGGAGCGGUGAAAUGCGUAGAUAUCGGAAGGAACGCCGGUGGCGAAAGCGACGUGCUGGACCUCUUCUGACGCUGAGGCGCGAAAGCUAGGGGAGCAAACGGG